GAAAAACAGAUUUUUUUUUUUUAAAUCCUGCUAAAAGCCAGCUACCUAGGCUCACACCUGUAAUCCCAGUAGCUCAGCAGGCUGAGACAGGAGCAUUGUGAGUUUAAAGCCAGCCUCAGCAAAGGAAGGUGCUAAGCAACUCAGUGAGACCCUAUCUCUAAAUAAAAUACAAAAUAGUGCUGGAGAUGUGGCUUAGUGAUUGGGUGCAGUGAGUUCAAUCCCAACACCAAAACAAAACAAAAAAAACUGCUAAAACAGGACAGUACUUGCCUAGCAUGUACAAGACAUUGAGUUCAAUUACCAGCACUGAAAAGAAAAAAAAAAAACUGAUAAAACAAUAGAGUAUAUUUUUUUAAUUCUUGUGUAGACACAUCUAGAAAACCUAAUGCAUCAGAAAUUGCUUCCUUUUUUUUUUGAAAAAGCAGUUAAGGGGCUGGGAAUGUGGCUCAAGCGGUAGCGCGCUCGCCUGGCAUGCGUGCGGCCCGGGUUCAAUCCUCAGCACCACAUACAAACAAAGAUGUCGUGUCUGCCAAUAACUAAAAAAUAAAUAUUAAAAAAAAUUCUCUCUUUCUCCCUCUCUCUCUCUCUCACUCUCUCUUUUUAAAAAAAAAAAAAGUUAAGGGUUGGGCAUUGGGGCUCAGUGGUGGAGCACGUGCUUCACAUGUGUGAAGCCCUGGGUUCAAUCCUCAGCACUACAUAAAAAUAAAUAAAGGUAAAAAGAAAGGUAAAUAAAGAAAAAGAAAAAAAGGAGUUAAGCUUUAAGCAACAAACUAAGGGCAUGAUGAAAGAGGUCUGUACUUUAAUAACUGAACUAAAACCCUGACUCUUCUCUCUGUCUUUAUCUAAAUACUCUUGAUUCCACUAACCCUUUAUCCAGUUGCCUUUUUUCUCUGAAGAUAGAAAGACAAAUGCUAAAUAGAGUGAUGCCUUCUGACCAACCAAGGUUACCUGCCAUCUCUUCUGCCCCAUGUUCUGAGACAGAACUUAGAGCCAGCAUAAGAGAAUCCAAAUCUAACAGAAAUUCCUCAAAAAAAUUUUCCAGAACUUUAGAAUUCUCAUAGGAACUUAAAAUCUGAGACUCCCUGACCUCUACCAACUUAUGCAUAUGACAUUGGGACCUGGGGAAGCUUGAAAUGGAUGACAAAAACAGAAUGGAAGGAGGAUAUUAAUAACCCUUUCAAAACUUGUUCAAGGUGGGACAAAGGAAAGGUAGGAAAAAUUGUUGACUUUUAGAUUGGGUCUCUGAGGUGUUUUUUUUUGUUUUUUGUUUUUUUUUUUGAAGAAGAAGAUUAAUUCGUCCACUAUAUAAUCCUGCAGGCAAGAGAAGGAAGAACCAGUGCAGAUUACAGAGCUCACUUAGAAUCACAGUGAAGCAUCUGGACUCAAAAUAUAUCAAAGACCAUUUCCUGCCAUAACUAAAAUGCCAGAAAAACCAGGCAGCCAUAAACCCUGUCGGGAGAGAAUGGACUGUUACAACUAUGACUUUCCAGUUAUUUUUCCAGCAAUUUCUACAGGGAACAGGGACCAAAGGAUCUGUAAUUGGUCCAGUAGAAGACUUCAGAAGGAAAGCAAAGGACUUUAGGGAUCUGGUAUGGCAUGGGAGACUCACUGAAAUAACCCUUGGGAUUAUCUUUGUGCUUCUUAACCAAUGUACUACAUGCCAACUUGACAGCUGCAGAAGUCAAAAGGUGAUCUGCCUGCAUCAUGUCUGAGAUGAGCACCACCACAAUUACUUUAUCCCCCAAGAAACUGCAGAGGAUAGAACAGAAAUAACACAAAUUGAAGUUGUAGCAAUUUGCAAGUUUGAAUAUGAUGUACUAUUUGGUGUAGCAAUUGGUUCUUCUGCAAAAAUAAGAAGCAGUGUCAAACAAGUCCAGAAGAGAUUUAACGCAUUUGUGACAUCUAUUGAAAAUCAGAUCUUAAGGAUUCUGCCAGUUUAUUAAUUGGUAUGUGUUCCAUCCUAUUACCAGUUGGCUCAGCAAUCAAUCAUGAGUUAGCUAAUUUGUAUAUGGAAUAGUAAAUAAAAGUUUCACCUAAGAAGUAGUUAAUUGAGCAUACAUGGAUGGUUUCCAUUUAUAUCCAAGCAACUACAUGUAACACUAUCUGACAUAAACAAUUCAUGAAUAGUACAGUUUUACUUCAUCCUGUUGCCAAUGAAAUUUCUGCUUUCUUGAAGGCUUCAGAAAAUGUCAAAAACAAAUUGGAGGGCUGGGGUUGUGGCUCAGAAGUAGAGUGCUCGCCUACCAUGCGUGAGGCACUGGGUUCAAUCCUUAGGACCACAUAAAAAUAAAAUAAAGACAUUGUGUCAACCUAUAAUUAAAAAUAAAUAUUUUUUAAAAAAUG
rnacentral:lncRNA from 1 species